UCUUAAGUAUAAAAAGGGCAUUCGGUGGAUGCCUUGGCACAUAAAGGCGAUGAAGGACGUAAUACGUUGCGAUAAGCUCCGGGGAGCUGCGAAUAAGCUUUGAUCCGGAGAUUUCCGAAUGGGAAAACCCAAUUGCUUCGGCAAUUAUCAUAUACUGAAUUCAUAGGUAUAUGAGGCAAACCUGGUGAACUGAAAUAUCUAAUUAGCCAGAGGAAAAGAAAUCAACCGAGACUCCGCUAGUAGUGACGAGCGAACGCGGACCAGGCCAGUGGUAAUUUUGUAAUAACUGGAACUGUUUGGAAAAGCAGGCCAAAGUGGGUGAUAGCCCCGUACAGGUAAAAAACAUUAUUAUCCUCGAGUAGAACGGGACACGUGAAAUCUUGUUUGAAUAUGGGAGGACCACCUUCCAAGCCUAAGUACUCUUAUGUGACCGAUAGUGAACUAGUACCGUGAGGGAAAGGUGAAAAGUACCCCGAUAAGGGGAAUGAAAUAGUACCUGAAACCGAAUGCUUACAAGCAGUAGGAGCUCUUUAUGAGUGACUGCGUACCUUUUGUAUAAUGGGUCAGCGACUUAAUUUAUUUAGCAAGCUUAAGCCGUUAGGUGUAGGCGUAGCGAAAGCGAGUUUUAAUAGAGCGUUUAGUUAAAUGGAUUAGACCCGAAACCGGGUGAUCUAGGUAUGAGCAGGUUGAAGAUGGAGUAAGAUCCAUUGGAGGACCGAACCCACCAAUGUUGAAAAAUUGGGGGAUGACUUGUGCCUAGGGGUGAAAGGCCAAUCAAACCCGGAGAUAGCUGGUUCUCCGCGAAAUAUAUUUAGGUAUAGCGUUAUAUAUUACCAUCGGGGGUAGAGCACUGAAUAGGCUAGGGGGGCCCAAAGCCUUACCAAACCUAAUUAAACUCCGAAUACCGAUGAGUACAGUAUAGCAGUCAGACCUAGGGUGCUAACGUCCUAGGUCGAGAGGGAAACAACCCAGACCGUCAUCUAAGGUCCCCAAAUCAUGGCUAAGUGGUAAAGGAUGUAAGAAAGCCAAGACAGCUAGGAGGUUGGCUUAGAAGCAGCCACCCUUUAAAGAAAGCGUAACAGCUCACUAGUCUAAUUAAGCCUUCUUGCGCCGAAAAUGUAACGGGGCUAAAGCCAUGUACCGAAGAUACGGAUUCUUUUUAGAAUAGUAGCGGAGCGUUCUGUAAGUCUGUGAAGAUAUAUUGUGAAAUAUAUUGGAGAUAUCAGAAGUGAGAAUGCUGACAUGAGUAACGAUAAAAAGUGUGAGAAACACUUUCGCCGAAAUUCCAAGGUUUCCUGCGUAAAGCUAAUCUGCGCAGGGUUAGUCGGCCCCUAAGGCGAGGCUGAAAAGCGUAGUCGAUGGGAACAAGGUUAAUAUUCCUUGACCUGGAGGUAGUGACGGAGAUGAAAUUUUGUAUUCGCUUAUUGGAUUGUGAAUGCAAUUGGAUUCUUCCAGGAAAUAGCUCCUCCGUAUAGACCGUACCGUAAACCGACACAGGUGGAAAGGUAGAGUAUACCAAGGCGCUUGAGAGAACGAUGCUGAAGGAACUAGGCAAAUUGCACCUGUAACUUCGGGAGAAGGGUGACCUAUUUUUAGGCAACUAAGGAUAGGUGGCACAGAAAUGGGGGUAGCGACUGUUUAUUAAAAACACAGGACUCUGCUAAGUCAAUAAGACGAUGUAUAGGGUCUGACGCCUGCCCAGUGCUGGAAGGUUAAGAGGAGAAGUGCAAGCUUUGAAUCGAAGCCCCAGUGAACGGCGGCCGUAACUAUGACGGUCCUAAGGUAGCGAAAUUCCUUGUCGGGUAAGUUCCGACCCGCACGAAUGGCGUAACGACUUCCCCACUGUCUCCAGCAUCGACUCAGUGAAAUUGAAUUCGCCGUUAAGAUGCGGUGUAACCGCGGUCAGACGGAAAGACCCCGUGAACCUUUACUACAACUUAGCAGUGACGUUAGGAAUGUAAUGUGCAGGAUAGGUGGGAGACUUUGAAGUUAGGACGUUAGUCCUGAUGGAGUCACCCUUGAGAUACCACCCUUUACAUUUUUGACGUCUAACCUCAUACCAUUACCUGGUAUAGGGACCCUGUUAGGCGGGUAGUUUGACUGGGGCGGUCGCCUCCCAAAUAGUAACGGAGGCGCGCGAAGGUAAGCUCAGGUUGGUCGGAAACCAACUUUUAGAGUGUAAUGGCAUAAGCUUGCCUGACUGUGAGGCUGACAAGCCAAGCAGAGACGAAAGUCGGUCAUAGUGAUCCGGUGGUUCUGUGUGGAAGGGCCAUCGCUCAACGGAUAAAAGGUACUCCGGGGAUAACAGGCUGAUGAUUCCCAAGAGCUCAUAUCGACGGAAUCGUUUGGCACCUCGAUGUCGGCUCAUCACAUCCUGGGGCUGGAGAAGGUCCCAAGGGUUCGGCUGUUCGCCGAUUAAAGUGGUACGUGAGCUGGGUUUAGAACGUCGCGAGACAGUUCGGUCCCUAUCUGCCGUGGUCGUAAGGAAAAUUGAAGGGAGCUGCCUCUAGUACGAGAGGACCGAGGUGGACAUACCUCUAGUCGACCUGUUGUUGCGCCAGCAGCAUUGCAGGGUAGCUACGUAUGGAAGGGAUAACCGCUGAAAGCAUCUAAGUGGGAAGCCCACCCUAAGAUUAAUUUUCCCUAUCAGAGCCGUGGAAGACCACCACGUUGAUAGGCUGGAUGUGUAAGUACAGUAAUGUAUUUAGCUAACCAGUACUAAUAGCUCGAUUGACUUAAUAAU
rnacentral:rRNA from 1 species